rnacentral:lncRNA from 1 species
GUUUUCUGGCUUGGAAAGGUUGAAGGAGCAAUGACAGGUGUCCUGGGGCUCGAAUGACUGGCCGAGGCGGCAGAAGCUGGCCCGGUCGCUGUAGACUCUUGGACGCAGUAGCAGCGCUCGCUCAGCCUCUUCUGCCUCCCCCACGUCCACACAGAGAGAAAUCCAACCCUUGGCUGAGGCCUGAAAGAAGACCUGCAUUCACGCCGCGGAGGGGAGUGCUGCUCAGCUGUCAAAAGAACAAGCCCAGCAGAGGCAGGGUCAGAAGGUCCUUUCCUCUCCCUCCACCCUUUUGUUUCCGUUUCCUCUCCUCUUCUCCCCCUCCUUCCUCCAUGCCUUCUGUUUGUUUGUUUAUUUGUUUAUCUUUUGCUCUGUGUGUUUUGAGACAGGCUCUCCCUUUGUAGCCUAUGCACACCUGGAACUCCCUGUGUAGUCCAUGGAAACGCUUCUGAUUCGGCCUCCUAAAUUCUUGGGAAGAUGGACUGCUGGGGUGGGGCACUUGCUGCUAAGCCUGAAGACCUGAAAUCACUCUCCGGAACUCACGUGGUAGGAGAGAGAGAACCAACUCCUGAAAGUUGUCCUCUGACCGCCACAUGUAAUGGGGACACAGGCAACUUGUCUAGUAGGCCUAUGUAUACAGCUGAGUGUUUGGACCAAUCAUGGCCAUUUGUUUGGGCCAAACCCCCGUCUUGCCAAUUUUUUUUUUUUUUUUUUUGAGACAGGGUUUCUCUGUGUAGCCCUGGCUGUCCUGGAACUCAUUUUGUAGACCAGGCUGGUCUCGAACUCAGAAAUCCGCCUGCCUCUGCAUUCUGAGUGCUGGGAUUAAAGGCGUGUGCCACUACACCCGGCUCCAUCUUGCCUCUUGGCAUCAUGAAAUUCCUCUAGUAAGCCACCAGGGGGAGUGUUCCACCCCUGUCGCAGGUGGAAAUGGUUGUAGGGUCAUCUAGAGAUCAUCAAGGCUUGGUAUAGUGAAAAUUCUGAUACCUCCGGGAGCUUAGGCAAUUGGCUGCAGUCUUUGUGUAGUUACCUCUGUCAGUGUUCUAGAUUGCUGAUUCUGACACAGGAUGAUCUGAUGGCUGUGAGAUUUUUGCUCCAGGGAGUCAGGGAGAGCUGAUGUAGUCAUGCAAACUGUCCCAAGCCUAAUGUCUUUGCUAAGUAACAGGAAAAUGGUCACUGGUAGGAGUGUUCACAUAUACACACAUAGAACUUAUUAACAAUAAGAGUGAUUUUAAAAAAUGAUUUACGUAUUUAUGUUAUAUAUCUAUGAGCACACCAUUGCUGUCUUCAGACACACCAGAAGCGGGCAUCACAUCCCAUUACCAAUGGUUGUGAGCCACCAUGUGGUUGCUGGGAAUUGAACUCAUGACCCCAGUUAAGUGCUCUUAACUGCUGAGCUCUCUCUCCAGCCCACUAAGGAUGAUUUUUAAAACAGAUUGAAGAGAGUUCACCACCUGCUCAAUGCCCCAGAGAGUGCUGAGUGCUCCUUAUACGUGCCAGUAGGAAAUCAUCAAGACCUAUAGAAUAGCCGGGCGUGGUGGCGCACGCCUUUAAUCCCAGCACUCGGAGGCAGAGGCAGGCAGAUUUCUGAGUUCGAGGCCAGCCUGGUCUACAGAGUUCCAGGACAGCCAGAGCUAUACAGAGAAACUCUGUCUUG